rnacentral:rRNA from 1 species
CCUACGGGUGGCUGCAGUGAGGAAUAUUGGUCAAUGGACGAGAGUCUGAACCAGCCAAGCAGCGUGAAUGAUGACUGCCCUCGGGGUUGUAAACUUCUUUUAUAAAGGAAUAAAACGAGGCACGUGUGCCUUUUGGCAUGUACUUUAUGAUUAAGGAUCGGCUAACUCCGUGCCAGCAGCCGCGGUAAUACGGAGGAUCCGAGCGUUAUCCGGAUUUAUUGGGUUUAAAGGGAGCGUAGAUGGGUUGUUAAGUCAGUUGUGAAAGUUUGGGGCUCAACCGUAAAAUUGCAAUUGAUACUGGCAGUCUUGAGUACAGUAGAGGUAGGCGGAAUUCGUGGUGUAGCGGUGAAAUGCUUAGAUAUCAGGAAGAACCCCGAUUGCGAAGGCAGCUUACUAAACUGUGACUGACGUUGAUGCUCGAAAGUGUGGGGAUCAAACAGGAUUAGAUACCCGGGUAGUC